rnacentral:tRNA from 1 species
GGAUUCGUGGCAGAGCGGUUGAAUGCACUCGUCUUGAAAACGAGAACUUAUGUCUAGUAGGUCGUGAGUUCAAAUCUCACCGGGUCCG